rnacentral:rRNA from 1 species
UACGUAGGGGGCAAGCGUUGUCCGGAUUUAUUGGGCGUAAAGAGCGUGUAGGCGGCCAGGUAGGUCCGUUGUGAAAACUCGAGGCUCAACCUCGAGACGUCGGCGGAAACCCUCUGGCUAGAGUCCGGAAGAGGAGAGUGGAAUUCCUGGUGUAGCGGUGAAAUGCGCAGAUAUCAGGAAGAACACCCGUGGCGAAGGCGGCUCUCUGGGACGGUACUGACGCUGAGACGCGAAAGCAUGGGGAGCGAACAGG